AUUUAUCUUACCAGUGGUUUCAUUACUCAGAAGAGUCUCUGCUUCUGGCUUCAAAGACACAAGUUGAGACCUGCCAACAAUUAUGACACAGCAGAACGGAAGGGAAAACCUUUAAAUGCCUAAGAAAAGCCUCUUAAAAAGUCCAACAGUACCUGUCACAAGUGUCAGCCAGACGAACCAUCAGGUACUUUAUGGUUGGAUUGUAACACACUUCAUGAAUGGGUAAGUCUCCUA